rnacentral:rRNA from 1 species
ACAGAGGGUGCGAGCGUUAAUCGGAAUUACUGGGCGUAAAGCGCACGUAGUCGGCUUGUCAAGUCGGGUGUGAAAUCCCCGGGCUCAACCUGGGAACUGCAUCCGAAACUGACUUGCUAGAGUAUGGGAGAGGGAGGCGGAAUUUCUGGUGUAGCAGUGAAAUGCGUAGAUAUCAGAAGGAACAUCAGUGGCGAAGGCGGCCUCCUGGACCAAUACUGACGAUCAGGUGCGAAAGCGUGGGGAGCAAACAGGAUUAGAUACCCUGGUAGUCCACGCCCUAAACGAUGAGAACUAGAUGUCGGGAGGGUUUGCUGUUCAGUAACGAAGCUAACGCGUGAAGUUGACCGCCUGGGGAGUACGGCCGCAAGGUUG